AGCGAACGCCGGCGGCAGGCCUAACACAUGCAAGUCGAACGAAGUCUUCGGACUUAGUGGCGGACGGGUGAGUAACACGUGGGAACGUGCCCUUUGGUAAGGAAUAACUCAGGGAAACUUGAGCUAAUACCGUAUGUGCCCUUCGGGGGAAAGAUUUAUCGCCAUUGGAGCGGACCGAGUCUGAUUAGCUAGUUGGUGAGGUAAAGGCUCACCAAGGCGACGAUCAGUAGCUGGUCUGGGAGGAUGAUAAGCCACAUUGGGACUGAGACACGGCCCAAACUCCUACGGGAGGCAGCAGUGGGGAAUCUUCCGGAAUGGGCGAAAGCCUGACGCAGCCAUGCCGCGUGAAUGAUGAAGGUCUUAGGAUUGUAAAAUUCUUUCACCGGGGACGAUAAUGACGGUACCCGGAGAAGAAGCCCCGGCUAACUUCGUGCCAGCCGCCGCGGUAAAAC
rnacentral:rRNA from 1 species